rnacentral:rRNA from 1 species
CAGCAGUCGCCGCGGUAAUACAGAGGGUGCGAGCGUUAAUCGGAUUUACUGGGCGUAAAGCGUGCGUAGGCGGCUUCUUAAGUCGGAUGUGAAAUCCCUGAGCUUAACUUAGGAAUUGCAUUCGAUACUGGGAAGCUAGAGUAUGGGAGAGGAUGGUAGAAUUCCAGGUGUAGCGGUGAAAUGCGUAGAGAUCUGGAGGAAUACCGAUGGCGAAGGCAGCCAUCUGGCCUAAUACUGACGCUGAGGUACGAAAGCAUGGGGAGCAAACAGGAUUAGAUACCCGAGUAGUCCCUGUCUCUUAUAA